rnacentral:rRNA from 1 species
ACGCCGCGUGAGUGAUGACGGUCUUCGGAUUGUAAAGCUCUGUCUUUUGGGACGAUAAUGACGGUACCAAAGGAGGAAGCCACGGCUAACUACGUGCCAGCAGCCGCGGUAAUACGUAGGUGGCAAGCGUUGUCCGGAUUUACUGGGCGUAAAGGAUGUGUAGGCGGAUACUUAAGUGAGAUGUGAAAGCCCCGGGCUUAACCUGGGGACUGCAUUUCAAACUGGGUAUCUAGAGUGCAGGAGAGGAAAGCGGAAUUCCUAGUGUAGCGGUGAAAUCCGUAGAGAUUAGGAAGAACAUCCGUGGCGAAGGCGGCUUUCUGGACUGUAACUGACGCUGAGGCAUG